GGAGAGAUGAACGUGUUGAUGGUGUGUGUGGAGAGGGGGCACUCAAGCAGUGGGAGUGAGGGGGUCAGGGUGUUCCUGGAACACACUUCUCUCCUCCCUCGUUCUGUCCUUCUUUCCCUCACUCCCAUCUUCACUGCAGCCUACUUUAAUAGGAGACUGCUGUUUCAUUUUUUCCUGCACUUUUCUGAUCAAAGCCAAUAUAAGAAACCAUUACCAGGAAGAGACAGGAGUGUCUCUCUCUCUCUCUCUCUCUGUAGGACACACUGUAGCAGUCUAGGACACCAUGGGCAGUGAACAGAGACCAACAAUAACUACCCACAAUAACUACCUUAUUGUCAUUUUUGGAAAAAUAUGUGAAUGUCACCGAUCCAGAAAAUAUGCUAAGCGCAAUGACAAACAGGUGUAGCUAAAGAGCAUCAGGUUGCUACACAUCAAUGUCACCAACUUGGCCUGCUGAAGGCUCUAUGGCUCAAAUGCCCCUGCUGCAUGUUCUUCAGUCUGUUUAUCAAGUCUGCCAGUCAAAUGUACUCUGAUCUCUUUACUUAAGAAACCAGGACAGAUAAGUGGUUGUUGGAGCAAUAGUGGGCCUUUAACUAGCAACGGUGCGUAGAGAGACGAAUGCAUGCAAUUAUAGAUAUCUUCCCUGGCUUGGUCUGCCUCAGAGUCACACUCACAUUAACCAUCCUCAAACACUUUGUCUGCAUUUCCAUGUGGCUCUUUCCUGCAAGUAGAUUUUUACAAAUGGUUUGUUUCAAUAUGUAACAUGCAUUUUCUUAAACUAAUCUGUAAGUGUUUUGGUUUAUGGCAACCAUUACUGAGGAGGCUGUUUCAGAUUACAUGAUGUAGGUAGUCUCAAGCAACAUUACGCUCUGCGCUGCUCUGACAUAGAUUCUGAAUGUAAGUUGUAGGUGAUGUAAAAGUUCUGGACAUCCUCCCUCUUAAAUGGAUACCACUAGAGAUUGGAUGUCACAUUGCAAGACACCAUAAUAUGACACAUUAGGAAAUAUGCAAAUGAGACUUUACACCCUUAUACCUCAAAUGGAACCAUAUAAACCCCAAAAUAGUGUUGUUUGACGACAUAGGAGUUGAAUUAACUCUUGCGAUUGUAUUGAGCGUAAACGUUACUCUAAAUAAUUAACUCUAGAAUACUGAACAACACUAUUUUGAAUUAAUACUGUACAGAGUGAAACCCAAUGAAGCAGAGUUAAAUAUCAACCCUAAAUUGAGCUUACACAACUCUGAAAAAAUAACUCUAUUGCCAGAGUACGUUUUACAUAAUUUUCUGGUCAAAUCCCAAAACCCUGAGUCUACUUAGGAAAUAGAGGCGUUGUUGAACUCUGCAGAAGACACGGUCUACUUGGACCUUCCAGUUCAGUACAUUGUCCUAGUGUGCACCCAGCUACUUGUACGAACUAAGCUGUGCUGUGUUAGCAUUCUGAACAACCACAGGCACGUGGUUGCCAACAGAUUUGGGGUCAAACACCAUCUCCUCUGUUUUCUUUACAUUGAGGAUAAGAUGGUGCUCAUCACACCACUUGACAAACCUUUGAAUUUCUGACCUGUACACGGUAGUAUCAGCAUCUUUAUACAUCACACCAAGGACGGCCGUAUCCUCAGAAAACUUGACAAUAUAGUCAUUAGGAUUACUGCUGGUGUAUUCAUGUGUGUACAUGAUGAAUAAGAUGGGUGCACUCCCACAACCCUGCGGGCCCCUGUGCUAAUGUCUCUAGCCUCAGAGAGGGUUCUGUUAACACUAACCUGCUGAGUAUUGCUCGUCAGGAAUGAGCGCUACCACCUUAUGAUACAGGAGUUAACACUCGUCUGCUUUAAAACUGACUGAGUAGGACAUGUGGCUGUGUUGUGUUAAACGCUGAAAAUAAAUAACAGGCCUCGGGUUUUCCAGAUGCUUAACAAUGAGAUGCACUAUGGUGUUGAUUGCAUCAUCUUGUCUCACAACUUUUCUUAUAGGCAAAUUACUAAGGAUCUAACACAGGGUUCACAUCUGAAUGGAGCUCGCACACCAUGAUCUUUUUAUUCUUACAGGUGUGCUUGAAGACUCAAAUGACAACUACAGGGUUGAUUUCCAACCUAGGAACACAAUAAUCAAUAACAAUGGAGCCAAUCACAUUAUCACACUCAACAGAGAAGUCAUGUACAUCAAAUCUUGUAUAAAAAAAAACUUUUAAUUCCUUGGCUUUGGUCAGGUCAUCUGGUGUGUGCAAGGAUUUAUUUUGCAGGGUUCAUGUUGCUGAUUGUUCGCAUCGACUCCCACCAUUUUUUGGAGUUCUUUGUAAGGAACUAUUUGUUCCCACUGCUUCCGUGUGUUGUUUCCUUGUCUCUCUGAGCAUUUGGUUGAGCUCCUUUUGCACCCAUUUCAGUUGUUGUUUGUCCUUGUUUUUGAAUGGUUGCCUCUUGCUUCUUGCCUCUUGCAAUUGAUCCAUGUCCUUGACCUCAUUUGUGAUGUAGUGUGUGUUGUUUGGGUAUGACUUUUUGUCUUCUGGCAUAUCAGAGUCAACACAGAAAUGUAUGUAGUUUGUGACAACCUGUGCUGACUUGUGCAUGUCUAACUCGUGAAAAAUGUCCCAAUCUGGACACAGAACAUCCCUUAAGUGAUUCUAUACUGUCCUGCUUCCAGACAUUCACAGAUUUCACAAGGGGUUUACUGCUCCUGAGCUGUAGGUAGGUGGGAAUGAGCUGGACAGUGUUGUGAUCAAGCUAGACAGGGAUGGUUUGGCUCUAGCUGUGUAAAGGAGAUUGAGGAUGUACUGAGAGCUCCAACUGAACAGAGAACCUAGCCGACAAGAAAAGGACGGCUAUGGAAGGAAAAAUACAUUUUCUAUUCAUAGAAAGGUGGUAAUUAAAAAAGGCCUGACUGAGACUGAAAAGUGAGUUGGUUAGGACGAAAACAAGUCAGCAAGGGUGAUGUUCUCCCUCUGUGGAAAGGGUUCUACAUGGAUCCUAAAAGGGUUCUACCUGGAACCAAAAAGGGUUCUUCAAAGCGUUCUCCUAUCUGGACAGCCGAAUAACCUUUUUAGGUUCUACAGUACAUAGUGUAUGUUCACAUAAAUUGCAGCCAAGACUGGAAUUUUCACUUAAUUUCCGUGGCCAUACUUCUUUUCAUAGAUAGAUUGCAUGUCUGCUCAUUUAAUUCUCAAGCCACCAACAUAAUAUUUGAUAGACAUCGUUUACCAACUGGGGUCAUUUUGACCCCAAGAAGAAACUAUUGGAAAAAGCAUCAAUCACAGCAAAAUAUCAACUUAUGUUUUAUCAAAACAUCAUAAAACAUUUGCUACAUGUUAUCUGAAGUAAAAGAUGACCAGAAUAGACUGUUAUUUUAGCAAAAUUACUGUUAAUCAGCAUAUUCUGUCAAACAUAUGUAUGCAUUUUUUUUAAAUAAAAUUUGCAGCUUUUUCCAAAGUACAAUCCACAUUAGCACUAAAAAAGCAAAUUUACCGUAAUUUAAUUAUAGUUACAUUUAGUUUUCAGAAUUUUUAAGUAAAUAUCAAUUGUGUCAUAUUCAUGUAGUCAAAAUUAUCAUAUUUUCGAGGGGCAGUACAGCAACAUUUUAAAUACAUUUUAUUGACAAAAAGUAUUCAAUUAAUUUCAAAAAGUGAUUCUGAGAGACAAUGACCAAACUAUUGCAAAAAGAAUGCCCACAUCUAAGUCACUACAAACCAAAGUAUAUAGCACCAAACAUAUACGUCCAAGUUGCACAUAUAAAAUAUUGGAGGAUAUUAUAGCAAUUCUGGUAUUAAUAUCAUAUUUUCAGUAGAAUAAGUAUUUUUUGGAGAAUACACACCAAUACAACACUGUGUGUACAUUUAGAGGGUAGCUGGUUUUUGUAUUAUUAUUUUAUCAAGUAUUCAUAGCACUGACAUACUUUUAUCAGCUGUUUUGACAACUACUAAGCAUGUAUGUGGUCUUACCUAGUUAUAACCAUUUAUAACCAUAGGCCCUAAAAUAACUACAAUUUCGGGGAAUACACACCAAUACAUCUCUCUAUGUGGAUUCAGAGCCUAUCUGAGUUCUGUAUUUCAGUUCUAUCAAGUAUUGAUAACCUUACCAGACCUUGUAUACCUUUGGCAAAUUUUAUGUAUAAAAAAAUACGGUUAUUUUGGUUUUGUAUACAGUCAUAUGAUGCGUGGUAUAGAAAAGUUACAUCUUAGAGUACAUGGGGAGCUCUGCAGAUGAUCUGUCUAUCUGGUCGAAAUCACUGAUACAGGUCCCCCUCCACCCUCUGGUGGUGUGGUUACCAGGUCCCCCUCCACCCUCUGGUGGUGUGGUUAACAGGUCCCCCUCCACCCUCUGGUGGUGUGGUUAACAGGUCCCCCUCCACCCUCUGGUGGUGUGGUUAACAGGUCCCCCUCCACCCUCUGGUGGUGUGGUUAACAAGUUCCCCUCCACCCUCUGGUGGUGUGGUUAACAGGUCCCCCUCCACCCUCUGGUGGGUAACUUGUUAUGUCUCCAGAGAAUCCUGGAUUCAAAUAAAGGUCCUAUUUAUCCAAUUAAUAUAGGCAGAAGUAUAUGAGGUCAAAAUUAUCCCAAAUUACUUACAUUUUUAAAUAGUCCAUAUUCAUAGAGAAACACUAAACAAUUAUUUAGAUUUGUUAAGAACAAGUUGAUUGACAAAGUCAUAAAACAUUUUAAAAAUUUAAUAAACAAACUUUGGGCUGUAAUAACAAAAAUAUGCCCCUGGGGUCAAAAUGUGUCACGUUCUGACCUUAGUUCUGUUAUUAUAUAUUUGUUUUAGUAUGGUCAGGGCGUGAGUUGGGUGGCUUGUCUAUGUUCGUUUUUCUAUAAUUUGGGAUUUCUGUGUUCGGCCUAGUAUGGUUCUCAAUCAGAGGCAGCUGUAAAUCGUUGUGUCUGAUUGAGAAUCAUACUUAGGUAGCCUGGGUUUCACUUUUGAGUUGUGGGUGUUUAUUUUCCGUGUUUGUGCCACACGGGACUGGUUUGUUUGUUUCACGUUGUUUGUUUUGUAUUUUGUAGUGUUCAGUUUUCUUAUUAAAUUAUGGACACUUGCCACCCUUCAAAUUGGUCCGAUCUAUCUUACUCCUCAUCAGAGGAAGACGACGAACAUUACAGAAACACCCAACACAAAAGGACCAAGCAGCGUGGUAACGGGCAGCAGCAGCAUCGAUCGCAGGACUCCUAGACUUGGGAGGAGAUUCUGGACGGCAAGGGACCAUGGGCACAAGCUGGAGAAUAUCGCCGCCCCAAGGUUGAGCUGGAGGCAGCGAAAGCCGAGAGGCGGUGGUAUGAGGAGGCAGCACGGCGGCGCGGCUGGAAGCCCGAGAGGCAGCCCCAAACAUUUCUUGGGGGGGAAGCACACGGGGAGUGUGGCGAAGGCAGGUAGGAGACCUGAGCCAACUUCCCGUGCUUACCGGAGAGAGAGAGGGACCGGGCAGGCACCGUGUUAUUCCGUGAGGCGCACGGUGCCCCCGGUGCAUGUGCAUAGCCCGGUGCCGGUACAUCCCAGUGCCUCGUAUCAGCCGGGCUAGAGUGGGCAUCGAGCCGGUCCGCACCUUCACGGUCCGGUCUGUCCGGUGUCACCUCCACGUACCAGCCCUCCGGUGGCAGCCCCCCGCACCAGGCUGUCUCUCUGUCUUCUCCCUACAGGUGCUCCCGCCUGUCCAGCGCUGCCAGAGCCUUCCUCCACUCCAGCGCUGCCAGAGUCUCCCAUCUGUCCUGAGCUGCCAGAGUCUCCCGUCUGUCCUGAGCCGCCAGAGUCUCCCGUCUGUCCUGAGCCGCCAGAGUCUCCCGUCUGUCCUGAGCCGCCAGAGUCUCCCGUCUGUCCUGAGCCGCCAGAGUCUCCCGUCUGUCCUGAGCCACCAGAGUCUCCCGUCUGUCCUGAGCCACCAGAGUCUCCCGUCUGUCCUGAGCCACCAGAGUCUCCCAUCUGUCCUGAGCCACCAGAGCCAACAGAGCCGCCAGUCUGUCCUGAGCCGCCAGAGCCACCAGUCUGUCCUUAGCCACCAGAGCCACCAGUCUGUCCUGAGCCGCCAGUCAGCCAGGAGCUGCCAGAGCCGUCAGUCAGCCAGGGGCUGCCAGAGCCGUCAGUCAGCCAGGAGCUGCCAGAGCCGCCUGUCACUUCGGCGAUGCCAGAAUCGCCCUUCACUCCAGCGCUGCCGGAGUCUCCCGCCUGCCCGGCGCUGCCGGAGUCUCCCGCUGCCGGAGUCCUGUCCGUUCGGGACACGUUGCGAGGGUCCCCAGUCCGAGGUCGGCGGCGAGGGUCGCCGCUCAUAAGAGGCCAAGGGGGGGUUGAGGAAGCGGACAAAAACUAUGGUGAAGUGGGGUCCACGUCCCGCGCCAGAGCCGCCAGUCUGUCCUGAGCUGCCAGAGCCACCACCCAGACCCUCCCCUAUAGGUUCAGGUUUUGCGGCCAGAGUCCGCACCUUAGGGGGGUACUGUCACGUUCUGACCUUAGUUCCUUUGUUUUGUCUUUGUUUUAGUAUGGUCAGGGCCUGAGUUGGGGGGGCAGUCUAUGUUUGUUUUUCUAUGUUGGUUUUUGUGUUCGGCCUAGUAUGGUUCUCAAUCAGAGGCAGGUGUCGUUAGUUGUCUCUGAUUGAGAAUAUACUUAGGUAGCCUUUUUCCACCUGGGUUUCGUGGGUGUUUAUUUCCUGUUUAGUGUUUGUCAUUCACCUUACGGGACUGUUCUUUUGUUGCUUAUUGUUUUUGUUCAGUGUUCAUUUUGCUUCAUUAAAUUAUGGACACUUACCACGCUGCGUUUUGGACCUCCGAUCCUUCUUGCUUCUCCUCCUCAGAAAAGGAGGACGAGGUUCCUUACAAAAUGGCCCCAGGUGGUAGCUUCUCAGACCGAUCUGGAGAGAGUGGAGUGCAACUUGACCAAAAAAAAGAACAUUAGAAAUUGUUGUCCACAGAACAAACAUACUAAUUUACCCAUGAUACAUUUCAAUUUAGAUUGAAUAUGAAAUACUGUAUUGGACAGCCUGGAAACAUUGUUAUUUAUUUCAGAUUUUAAAAAAAAUGUACAUCUGGGACAUAAAUCAACCAGAAAACAUAUCAGUAAUAACAUAUCCAACAACAAUUUCAUGGCAGGAAAUAAGAGUUUCCCUGCGAAACAGAAUUGAGCAAAGAGGACCUAAAAAUGCGUAUUAAACACAAUCCUUACAUUAUGCAUCUUGAGUACUUUCUGAAUUCUUUCUGAACUUUCUCAAUUUGGAUAGAAAUCUGUGUAAUUUCCCCCACACUUCAGAGAAAAUAUAUGUUAGCCGACAUAGUAAAAAAAGCCAUUUAAAAGCCAGAAGGACAAGAAAUUGAGCUAAUGUGUGAACAUCAACAAUCUUUGCUCACAGUGAUAUGAAUGUAUAAAAACUUGAGUCGAAUGACUAAUUCAUGUGUGCCCUUGGAAGGCAACACUGUAUGUUGGUUCAGCUAUAUGCCCGAAUGUUGAGAAAACACACAAAGCUAUUGCAGCCUUACAGCUGUAUGGUGAAUCAACAAACUCUGCUCAAAGUAAGCUGAAUUUGAACAAGCUUGUUGAGUAAAAUUACAAAUGUAUGUUUGCUCAAUACUACUCAAAACCAUUUCCCAGCAUGCUCUAUCGCAGGUUGAUUUUCAGAAUUGUUUGUUUCAAUACCUGUGUUUUUGCAUUGAUUGGUUGAUUAAUCUUAUAAUCUUAUGCUACAAAAACAUAAAUAACAUAAAUGUUUCUAAACUUAUCCAAGCUGUUAGUAGUCUUAAUAAUUCAUCUUCCAUACGGCUACCCUGGCCAUCAUUCUCAAUGCAGUUUGCGGGUAAAUAAAUGUUCCAAUUGUUGGAUAUCCUCACUCUGGCUGGAUUCUAAAACGGAUUAAACAAAAUUUUGCAAGCCAGAAUGUGACUUGCAGGCUUAAUACAGCCUAUAAACCAGGAGUUUCAGACCACUGUGUUAGGGUGUAACUAGGCCCUCAAAGAAAAGCCUUAUGAUAUAUGUAAUGUAUUGUCAUAAAGCGUUUAAUUUUACACUGGGAAAUAUGCAAACAAUUGUAUGUUGAAUCAACUGGAAUGCAAUUUUGUUGAGCAAACUCGCCAUCCUGUUGCAGCUGAAUAAACAUAAUUACAGUCUA
ensembl:lncRNA